GCUGUUGCUGCCCCUCCACCAGUGAGCAGAGAGGUCCCUGAAAUCCAAAUGUCCCCUUCCUGCCCCUUGCAUGGGGAUUUCCCUGCUCAUCCUUGUCUUCAGUGCACACAGGGCUGAAAGCAUUCUUAGGGGCUCAAAAGACAUGGAAUUAAGAGGAUUUUCCCCCCAGUUUGUGGGGUUGGCAAGGGACCUGUUUUCAGCAGAGAACAGGCUUCUUUUGCCCUGCCCUGGUCCCUGUCCCUCUCCUUGUCCCCUCUGGGAGUUGCUGCUGAUCCAAGUGGACUUGGCCUCAAGACUCAACCUUGCCCAGCUCUCAGACCUUCUUGUGCAAUCCAUGUCCCAUCGCAGACACGUCUGGGAGAAAUGCGGAGAUUUCCUGAGAGCGCUGCCAUGGAAAUUCCUGAGAUUUCUGCUGUGGAUGGACACGUAGGGAAGGAGGAGGCAGCCAUUUAGGAGGUGCAUUUUCCACAGAAAUAAAUCCUUUCUGC
rnacentral:lncRNA from 1 species